rnacentral:misc_RNA from 1 species
GUAAUAGUAAAACCUGAGACCUACCAGUAUGGAGACGCUAGAGCCUCGUUGGCUGCUUUGCAACAACAAUAACUGAUGUGAGUGCUAGUUUCAAACCAUAAAGGCAUAUUGUUGAGUUAAGGCUAUGCUUGUAUGGGGUCAUCUAUGCAUCUCCACACGACGUUUUCUCUCUACAAACACGCUAGAAGCUGUCUCCUCCCUAUACCUUGAAGAAUUCACAAACCUCUGUUCUAAGGGACUUCUAAAAGAAGCUCUUAAGAGCUAUAAAUCUGAGAUAUGGAAAAAUCCACAUCUCUUCUCUUACCUUCUCCAAUCAUGCAUUCCUCAAAAGUCAUUGCUUCUGGGAAAACAACUCCAUUCUUUGGUAAUUACUUCUGGGUAUUUCAGAGACAAAUUUGUGCGAAAUCACCUCCUAAAUAUGUACACCAAGAUUGGACAACUACAAACAGCUCUUUCGUUGUUCGACUCUAUGCCCAAGAAAAAUAUCAUGUCUUGUAACAUUUUGAUUAAUGGGUAUGUAAAGAGUGGAGAUUUGGAGGGUGCCCGUAAAGUGUUUGACGAAAUGCCCGAGAGAAAUGUUGCGACCUGGAAUGCUAUGGUCGCUGCCACGACCCAGUUUGAGUAUAAUGAAGAGGCUUUGGAUUUGCUUAGGGAAAUGUAUGAUUUGGGAUUUUCCCCAGAUGAGUUCACCCUAGGCAGUCUUCUUAGGGGUUGUGCAGGGUUGAGAGCUCUCUAUGCAGGAUGGCAGCUUCAUGCUUAUGUGAUGAAAUGUGGGUUUGAACUCAAUUUGGUUGUUGCGAGCUCCUUGGCCCAUAUGUAUAUGAAAAGUGGAAGUUUGGGAGACGGGGAGAAAAUUAUCAGAUCUAUGCCAAGUCGUAAUACUGUUGCUUGGAACACACUUAUUGCAGGGAAGGCUCAAAAUGGUUACUCUGAGGAAGUUCUGGAUCAGUAUAAUAUGAUGAGAAUGGCUGGUUUUAGACCGGAUAAAAUCACUUUUGUGAGUGUAAUUAGUUCAUGUUCAGAAUUGGCAACUCUUGGUCAAGGUCAGCAGAUUCAUGCUGAUUUGAUCAAAGCUGGUGCUAGUUCUGUUGUUGCAGUGAUUAGUUCGUUGAUUAGCAUGUAUUCAAAGUGCGGAUGUUUGGAAGAUUCUGUUAAAGUUUUCUUGGAAUGUAAAGAUGCGGACGUUGUAUUGUGGAGCUCCAUGAUUGCUGCUUAUGGUUUCCAUGGAAGAGGGAAGAACGCAAUCAAGCUGUUUCAGCAGAUGGAGCAGCAAGAUUUGGAGGCAAAUGAUGUUACUUUCUUGAGCUUACUUUACGCUUGUAGCCACUGUGGAUUGAAGGAUGAAGGGAUGAAAUUUUUUGAGUUGAUGGUGGAAAAGUACAGAGUGAAGCCUUGGUUAGAACAUUAUACUUGCGUGGUUGACCUACUUGGUAGGUCAGGGUGUUUGGAUGAGGCAGAGGCUAUGAUAAGAUCAAUGCCUGUAAAAGCAGAUGCUAUCAUUUGGAAGACUUUGUUAUCUGCAUGUAAACUUCACAAGAAUGCAGACAUGGCAGUAAGGGUUGCUAAAGAAGUUCUUAGCAUUGAUCCUCAGGAUUCAGCCUCUUAUGUACUUCUCGCUAACAUUCAUGCUUCUGCUAAGAGUUGGCAAUUUGUUUCGGAAGUGAGGAAAGCUAUGAGAGAUCGGAAGGUGAAGAAGGAACCAGGUAUAAGUUGGUUGGAAGUGAAGAAUCGGGUUCAUCAGUUCUGCAUGGGUUAUAAAUCCCAUCCGAGUUUAGGGGCAAUUGAUUUGUAUUUGAAAGAGUUAAUGGAAGAGAUGAAACUGCUUGGAUAUGUGCCUGAUACUACUUCUGUUUUGCAUGAUAUGGACAAUGAAGAGAAAGAAUACAGUUUGGUCCAUCACAGUGAAAAACUGGCAAUUGCUUUUGCUCUAAUGAACACUCCACCAGGUUUGCCAAUAAGAAUAAUGAAGAACUUGCGUGUCUGCAGUGACUGUCAUGUGGCUAUCAAAUAUAUAUCUCAGAUAAAAAAGAGAGAAAUCAUUGUCCGAGAUACUAGUAGAUUUCACCAUUUCAAAAAUGGGAAAUGUUCUUGUGGAGAUUACUGGUAAGAGGAGAGGCUAAAUUGCCAUUACAGUUGAUGCAGUUACUUUGUCUUUCUGAUUCAAAUGAUAUUAAUUUUCCCCCCCGAAUUAUUCUUAGUCGUAAUCACAUCAUUCAUCCACUCUUGAGACGUUAUGUUACCCUCCGC